UACGGAGGGGGCUAGCGUUGUUCGGAAUUACUGGGCGUAAAGCGCACGUAGGCGGCUUUGUAAGUUAGAGGUGAAAGCCCGGAGCUCAACUCCGGAAUUGCCUUUAAGACUGCAUCGCUAGAAUUGUGGAGAGGUAAGUGGAAUUCCGAGUGUAGAGGUGAAAUUCGUAGAUAUUCGGAAGAACACCAGUGGCGAAGGCGACUUACUGGACACAUAUUGACGCUGAGGGGCGAAAGCGUGGGGAGCAAACAGG
rnacentral:rRNA from 1 species